rnacentral:rRNA from 1 species
GUGAAAUUGUUGAAAGGGAAGCGCUUGCAGCCAGACUUGCCUGUAGUUGCUUAUCCGGACUUUUGUCCGGUGCACUCUUCUGCGGGCAGGCCAGGAUCAGUUUGGGCGGUUGGAUAAAGGUCUUAGGCACUUAAUUCCUUCGGGAGCAAAUAUAGCCGAGACGAAAUACAACCAGCCUGGAUUGAGGUCCGCGCAUUUAUGCUAGGAUCCUGGCGUAAUGGCUGUAAGCGGCCCGUCUUGAAACACGGACCAAGGAGUCUAAUAUCCAUGCGAGUGUUUGGGUGUCAAGCCCAGACGCGUAAUGAAAGUGAACGGAGGUGGGAACCUUUUAGGUGCACCAUCGACCGAUCCUGAUGUUUUCGGAAGGAUUUGAGUAAGAGCAUGGCUAUUGGGACCCGAAAGAUGGUGAACUAUGCUUGAAUAGGGUGAAGCCAGAGGAAACUCUGGUGGAGGCUCGCAGCGGUUCUGACGUGCAAAUCGAUCGUCAAAUUUGAGCAUAGGGGCGAAAGACUAAUCGAACUAUCUAGUAGCUGGUUCCUGCCGAAGUUUCCCUCAGGAUAGCAGUAACGAAUUCAGUUUUAUGAGGUAAAGCGAAUGAUUAGAGGCCUGGGGGCUGAAACAGCCUUCACCUAUUCUCAAACUUUAAAUAUGUAAGAAGUCCUUGUUACUUGAUUGAACGCGGACAUUUGAAUGAAACGUUACUAGUGGGCCAUUUUUGGUAAGCAGAACUGGCGAUGCGGGAAUGAACCGAACG